AGUGAACGCUGGCGGUAGGCUUAACACAUGCAAGUCGAACGGCAGGACAGUAAGUGCUUGCGCUUACGGGUGGCGAGUGGGGGAAGGGAGAGGAAAACACCGGAAUCUACUUUUUGGUGGGGGUUAAGGUAGGGAGACUUACGCUAAUAUAGCAUACGAUCUACGGGGGAAGGCAGGGGAUAUUCGGACCUUGUGGGAUUGAAUGAGCCGAUGUCGGAUUAGUUAGUUGGCGGGGUACAGGCCCAGCAAGGCGGUGAUCCGUUGCUGGUGUGUGAGGAUGGUCGGCCGCCAUGGAACGUGGACACGGUCCAGGCUCCUACGGGAGGCAGCAGUGGGGUAUUUUUGACAGAGGGCGGGAGUCUUAUCCAGUCAUACCGAGUGGGUGAAGAAGGCCUUCUGGUUGUAAUGCCCUUUUGUUGGUGAAGAAACGCAUCAGGCUAAUACCCCGCUUGACUGACGGUACCCGAUAAAUAAGCACCGGCUAACUUCGUG
rnacentral:rRNA from 1 species